rnacentral:rRNA from 1 species
AGUGAACGCUGGCGGCGUGCUUAACACAUGCAAGUCGAACGAGAACGGGUUAUAGCUUGCUAUAAUUGUCAGCUAAGUGGCUCACGGGUGAGUAAUGUAUAGGUAAUAUGCCUCUUACUAAGGGAUAACAAUUGGAAACGAUUGCUAAUACCUUAUACUCCUUAUUAACUAAGGGUAGUAAGGGGAAGAUUUAUUGGUAAGAGAUUAGCCUGUAUUGUAUCAGUUAGUUGGUGGGGUAAUGGCCUACCAAGACGAUGACGCAUAACUGGUUUGAGAGGAUGAACAGGCACACUGGAACUGAGACACGGUCCAGACUCCUACGGGAGGCAGCAGUGGGGAAAAUUGCACAAUGGACGAAAGUCUGAUGCAGCAACGCUGCGUGGAGGAUGACACAUUUCGGUGCGUAAACUCCUUUUAUAUGAGAAGAUAAUGACGGUAUUAUAUGAAUAAGCACCGGCUAACUCCGUGCCAGCCGCCGCGGUAA